UUCUCUCUCUCUCUCUUCCCUCUCUUUCUUCUUCCUCUGUUCAAUCCCAAAAACAAAACCCUAAAAACCUUGAUCUUGCCGGACCCAUUCCUUUUCACCUCCGUCCUUAUCCCUCCAUUCUCUUCCCUCCACCUCAAGGAAACGAAAGAAACAUAAAGAAGGAAAGAAAGCGACGGAAAUUCAGCAAGGUAAAGAGGUAGAGAGGUCGAAAUGUACAAAAACCAGCUGCAGGAGCUGGCCCAGAGGAGCUGCUUCAACCUUCCCUCUUAUACCUGCAUAAGGGAAGGCCCUGACCACGCCCCCAGAUUCAAGGCUACCGUUAACUUCAACGGCGAGAUCUUCGAGAGCCCCCACUAUUGCUCCACCCUGCGUCAGGCGGAACACUCCGCUGCUGAGGUUGCCCUCAACUCUCUCUCCAACCGUGGCCCCUCUCACUCCCUUGCCGCCCGCAUUCUCGAUGAAACUGGUGUAUACAAGAACCUUCUACAAGAAAUUGCACAAAGAGUUGGUGCUCCAUUGCCACAGUACACAACAUUUAGGUCAGGCCUGGGCCACCAACCUGUUUUUACAGGGACAGUGCAGUUGGCUGGAAUUACAUUCACAGGAGAACCUGCCAAGAAUAAGAAACAAGCUGAGAAGAAUGCAGCAAUGGCAGCUUGGUCAUCUCUAAAGCAAUGUAAGUCCCUGCCAAAAUUUGCAUUUUAUAAAUAAUUGGUAUGGAUGUAUGUGAAUAAAUACUCCUUCUGUCCCACAAAGAUAGGCUUACUUUCCUUUUUCAUCUGUCCCAAAUUAUAAUAGUUUAUUUAUCAGUUUAUUAAUAUGCCCCUAUUUAAUAUGCUUUGAAAAGUAAAGUCUUUUAGUUCCAAGGAUAAUUUAGUGACAUAAAUUGUUUAAUUUUUAAUGGAGGAAUAUCGAGGAAUAUCAAUGGAGGGUACAUUAGGAAAAGACUAAACAAAAUUUAUUGCUUUGACUGUAUUAAACUACAUUUUCUUAAUCAAUGUGAAACAAGAAGUAAGCCUAUCUUUGUGGGACGGAGGGAGUACUUACUAAGUGCUAAGUAGUGAUCUCUUCUUCAAAUGGAGGAUGUUCAAUAAAUCAGUUAUUGAUAUCCUAAAUAAAAAUUUAAUGUUUCAAAAAAAAAGAAAAAAGAAAUAUGGCACUAUCAAAAGAUCUCCACCGAUGGGAGUUCCAUUUGACUUGGACAUGCAAAGCUGAAAUACAUGUAGCAUUGCACUGCCUUGGUGCCCUGAAUUAUAAUCUUUAAAAUUCUUCACAAGCAGCCCCUCUCUUUAUAUACUUUAGAUGAUGUUUUCCUGAUUUUACUUACUUUGCAUAUGAUAGUAUAUCCUGAGGAAGAUUGUCUUGUGGAAUAUUUCCACAGUGACUCGGCCGGCCUUUGGCACUCUAAGCCAAGCCACAAUUUUUGCUCAACUUAUCUCAUAGUUGUUAGCAAUGCAUCUCUGUUAAUUUUGCUUAUGGUUAAAGCGUAAAUGUGUAUUGUUCUUUAUGGCCAGUGGCAAAGGAAGAUGCAAGUUCUU
rnacentral:misc_RNA from 1 species